rnacentral:rRNA from 1 species
AGUGAACGCUGGCGGUAGGCCUAACACAUGCAAGUCGAACGGCAGCACAGGAGAGCUUGCUCUCUGGGUGGCGAGUGGCGGACGGGUGAGGAAUACAUCGGAAUCUACUCUGUCGUGGGGGAUAACGUAGGGAAACUUACGCUAAUACCGCAUACGACCUACGGGUGAAAGCAGGGGACCUUCGGGCCUUGCGCGAUUGAAUGAGCCGAUGUCGGAUUAGCUAGUUGGCGGGGUAAAGGCCCACCAAGGCCGCGAUCCGUAGCUGGGCUGAGAGGAGGAUCAGCCACAGUGGAACAGGGACACGGUCCAGGCUCCUACGGGAGGCAGCAGUGGGGAAUAUUGGACAAUGGGCGCAAGCCUGAUCCAGCCAUACCGCGUGGGUGAAGUGGGCCUUCGGGUUGUAAAGCCCUUUUGUUGGGAAAGAAAUCCAGCUGGCUAAUACCCGGUUGGGAUGACGGUACCCAAAGAGUAAGCACCGGCUAACUUCGUGCCAGCCGCCGCCGUAA